rnacentral:siRNA from 1 species
GGGGAUGUAGCUCAUAUGG